AAGCUGUAGCUGAUACCGCAUACGCCCUUUGGGGGAAAGCGGGGGACCUUCGGGCCUCGCACUAUUGGAGCGGCCGAUAUCGGAUUAGCUAGUUGGUGGGGUAAAGGCCUACCAAGGCGACGAUCCGUAGCUGGUUUGAGAGGACGACCAGCCACACUGGGACUGAGACACGGCCCAGACUCCUACGGGAGGCAGCAGUGGGGAAUUUUGGACAAUGGGGGCAACCCUGAUCCAGCCAUCCCGCGUGUGCGAUGAAGGCCUUCGGGUUGUAAAGCACUUUUGGCAGGAAAGAAACGGCCCUGGUUAAUACCUGGGGCAACUGACGGUACCUGCAGAAUAAGCACCGGCUAACUACGUGCCAGCAGCCGCGGUAAUACGUAGGGUGCAAGCGUUAAUCGGAAUUACUGGGCGUAAAGCGUGCGCAGGCGGUUCGGAAAGAAAGAUGUGAAAUCCCAGGGCUUAACCUUGGAACUGCAUUUUUAACUACCGGGCUAGAGUGUGUCAGAGGGAGGUGGAAUUCCGCGUGUAGCAGUGAAAUGCGUAGAGAUGCGGAGGAACACCGAUGGCGAAGGCAGCCUCCUGGGAUAACACUGACGCUCAUGCACGAAAGCGUGAGGAGCAAACAGGAUUAGAUACCCUGGUAGUCCACGCCCUAAACGAUGUCAACUAGCUGUUGGGGGCUUCGGCCCUUGGUAGC
rnacentral:rRNA from 1 species